GGGGAUGUAGCUCAGUGGUAGAGCGCAUGCUUUGCAUGUAUUAGGUUCUGGGUUCAAUCCCCAGCAUCUCCA